UACGUAGGGUGCAAGCGUUAAUCGGAAUUACUGGGCGUAAAGCGUACGCAGGCGGCUUUGCAAGACAGGUGUGAAAUCCCCGGGCCUAACCUGGGAACUGCAUUUGUGACUGCAUGGCUAGAGUCUGUCAGAGGGGGAUGGAAUUCCGCGUGUAGCAGUGAAAUGCGUAGAUAUGCGGAGGAACACCGAUGGCGAAGGCAAUCCCCUGGGCCUGCACUGACGCUCAUGCACGAAAGCGUGGGGAGCAAACAGG
rnacentral:rRNA from 1 species